rnacentral:misc_RNA from 1 species
UAAAGUGCGAUAUGUAGUGCGAUUUGCAUGAAUCUGUGAGUCAUCUAAUCUUUGAACGCAACUUGCGCCUCUUACGAGGCAUGUCUGUUUGAGUGCCGUAAUCUUCUGCAGCAAUGCGAUUUGAUUUGCGUCUUUGUUGACCGAGUUUAAAGAAAGCUAGAGGAUGGUCAGUUUAGACUAGCCCGAGUGCUAAGCAUUCUUGGGUCUAGGAUGGAUUGCUCAUUACAUCUAUUUUUAAUUUGGCCUCAAAUCAGGCAAGACUACCCGCUGAACUUAA